rnacentral:misc_RNA from 1 species
GUUUGUGUUUGUCAUCAAUUGAAGGGGACCUCUAUGACGCUCCAUUGUCUCUCAAAGCUGAAAAUGAUGUUCAUUCCAAAUGUCACCACAACAAUGAACAAUCCCUUUAUCAUCAAUCUCGUACCUUUUUUUGGUGUUUAAAAGGUGGCUUCUUAUUGCUUUCUAAUUAAUUGACGUCUUUAAUACAUGUUAUAGUUGUUAGCUUCGAUGGAAUAUGUGUGGGUGGAGCACAGAGAUUCCUCAUGCAAGCAUGUGCUUACCUGAUGGCAGAGGGCCGAAAGGAGGUAAUGAUGGUGCCAGCAGAACAGGAGUGGGGCUGCCAUGUAGGGAUGAACAUUUAAUGAUUUUAAUUGAAAAUUUCAGUUUUCAUUUUGAUUAUUUAGGUUAAUCAAAUCGAUUUACAAUUUUAGAGAAAUUUGAUUUGGUUAAUUCAAUUGAAAAAUUGAAUUAAUCAAUUAAAUGAAAAUCAUAUAUAAAUGCUAUAUCAUUUUUAUUGUUAUGCAUAAAAUAAUUUCUUUCUGUAUCAUUUUUCUUUUUUCAAACUUUACUUUACAUCACGCCCCUCAUAUUGCUUCAUUGAAUUGAUAAAUUCUAAGACAACAUCUCUCUCUAGCGGUAGAGAGGAAGUUUUCUCUUUAAUUUUCCCUCGUCCUUAAGGCUUUCGGCUUCUUUUCUUGCCGCUGACCUAACAGCUGCCCUUGCCCCUCGAGAUAGGGACCUCGUCCCCUGAUUCUGGAAUUGGGUCUUCCUCCCCUCCUCUGAGCAAGGUUAUUUUAUUGAUAAAUAAGGAUGCUUUUUUUUUUUAAACCACAGACCAUAUAUUAAUGGAGAGGGUUUUAGUCAUUUCUUUUCCUUUUCUUAUUAAUUUUUUUAUUUAUCUUUAGCCCAUGACUUAUUUUAGAUAUUCUUUUUAAAUAAUAAUCCAGUAAAAAUAGAUAGAUAUAAAUAUUUUUUAUUUUUUAACUUUAAAAUAAUUAAUUAUAAAAAAUUUAUUAUAAUAAAAAUAAAAAAGAUAAAAGCAAAUAAAAUUAUAACUUUCUUUUUUAUUUAAUUAUUAGCAUUUAAUUUCUGUAAAAUGGGAAAAACAUCAACCAUUCAGAAGACCACAAUUGGGAUGCAAAAAAAAUCCAAGUGGACGUUGCCAACAUAUAUCCCGAGCAUCACGCGGUUAAAGAUUUCAGUUUCAAGCCGUUGUGAAAACCCAUUUGUUCGUUAAACGUAAAGCUUAGCCACAAGAAUAAAUGCUCCUUGAUUAUUCUUUUCUUACCCAACAAAGAGUAACUGGGAAGAGAUAAGUGUAUUGGAGCUUUGCUUUCUUGAUUUUGAGUUGCUUCUUUGCUUCUGGGU